rnacentral:rRNA from 1 species
UACGAAGGGUGCAAGCGUUACUCGGAAUUACUGGGCGUAAAGCGUGCGUAGGUGGUGAGUUAAGUCUGAUGUGAAAUCCCCGGGCUCAACCUGGGAAUGGCAUUGGAUACUGGCUCGCUAGAGUGCGGUAGAGGGUGGUGGAAUUCCCGGUGUAGCAGUGAAAUGCGUAGAGAUCGGGAGGAACAUCUGUGGCGAAGGCGGCUCUCUGGGACGGUACUGACGCUGAGACGCGAAAGCGUGGGGAGCGAACAGG